GAUGAACGCUGGCGGCGUGCCUAAUACAUGCAAGUCGAGCGAACAGACGAGAGUGCUUGCACUCUCUGACGUUAGCGGCGGACGGGAGAGUAACACGUGGGUAACCUACCUAUAAGACUGGGAUAACUUCGGGAAACCGGAGCUAAUACCGGAUAAUAUUUAGCUUCGCAUGAAGCAAUAGUGAAAGACGGUUCUGCUGUCACUUAUAGAUGGACCCGCGGUGUAUUAGCUAGUUGGUGAGGUAACGGCUCACCAAGGCAACGAUACAUAGCCGACCUGAGAGGGUGAUCGGCCACACUGGGACUGAGACACGGCCCAGACUCCUACGGGAGGCAGCAGUAGGGAAUCUUCCGCAAUGGACGAAAGUCUGACGGAGCAAUGCCGCGUGAGUGAAGAAGGUUUUCGGAUCGUAAAACUCUGUUGUAAGGGAAGAACAAGUACGUUAGUAACUGAACGUACCUUGACGGUACCUUACCAGAAAGCCACGGCUAACUACGUG
rnacentral:rRNA from 1 species